UACGUAGGGGGCAAGCGUUGUCCGGAUUUAUUGGGCGUAAAGAGCGUGUAGGCGGCUAGAUAGGUCCGUUGUGAAAACUCGAGGCUCAACCUCGAGACGCCGGUGGAAACCAUCUAGCUAGAGUCCGGAAGAGGAGAGUGGAAUUCCUGGUGUAGCGGUGAAAUGCGCAGAUAUCAGGAAGAACACCCGUGGCGAAGGCGGCUCUCUGGGACGUGACUGACGCUGAGGAGCGAAAGCGUGGGGAGCGAACAGG
rnacentral:rRNA from 1 species